UCGUCUGCUGAUCAGGAGCUGGCACAGCAGUGGAACAAACACACUGUCCUUCAUCUUCUGUGUUGAUCAGACUGUCUGUGGCUUCAUUUGAAGGGUAAGUAGAGGACACUGUCACUGACUGAGUUUACAUGCGCACUAAUCCACUAUUUUCUGAAUUUGAUGCCUUGUCUAAAUAAACUUGUCUGAAAGAAAGAUGCGUUGGUGUGAUUUUGUUUCCCUGCAUAUAAACCC
rnacentral:lncRNA from 1 species